rnacentral:lncRNA from 1 species
CAAAAUGUUUAGCAGAAGCUGCAAAAUUGUUUAUUGGUGUCUGGUGUAAUACUGACAUUUCUUUUAUUUGUAAGGAUAGAGCUGCAUGGGGAGCUUCUAGUGGUACAGUCUUGGCCCUACCCCGGUUUUCCUGUACUGCAUGUGUUUUCGUCACUUCCCUGAUUAUACCAUAAGUAUUGUAUCCCAUGGACACCAUCUUAUCAAUUCUGCAGUUUUUUUACAAUCUACCGUAAACAUCCAACUAUAA